GACCCCCACCGAUGGUACUGAGACACGGACCAUACACCUACGGGUGGCUGCAGUCGAGAAUCUUCCACAAUGGGCGAAAGCCUGAUGGAGNGACGCCGCGUGAUUGAUGAAGACCCUCUGGGUCGUAAAGAUCUUUUAUAGGGGAGGAAGCCGCGUUUGACGCGGUUGACGGUACUCUAUGAAUAAGGGGUUGCUAAACUCGUGCCAGCAGCAGCGGUAAUACGAGUGCCCCGAGCGUUAUCCGGAAUUAUUGGGCGUAAAGGGUGUGUAGGUGGUUGUGUUAGUCCUUUGUUAAAACUCUUGGCUCAACCAAGAAGGUGCGAAGGAAACGGCACGACUAGAGAGUGCGAGAGGUGAGCGGAACUCAUGGUGUAGGGGUGAAAUCCGUUAAUAUCAUGGGGAACACCGAAGGCGAAGGCA
rnacentral:rRNA from 1 species